rnacentral:rRNA from 1 species
AACGUAGGGGACAAGCGUUAUCCGGAUUUACUGGGCGUAAAGCGCCCGUAGGCGGCUUUUUAAGUUGGACGUGAAAGCUCCCGGCUUAACUGGGAGAGGCCGUUCAAAACUGAGAAGCUCGAGUGAGGAAGAGGAGAGCAGAAUUCCCGGUGUAGUGGUGGAAUGCGUAGAGAUCGGGAGGAAUACCAGUGGCGAAAGCGGCUCUCUGGUCCUAAACUGACGCUGAGGGGCGAAAGCGUGGGGAGCGAACGGG